rnacentral:rRNA from 1 species
AUACGUAGGGGGCAAGCGUUGUCCGGAAUUACUGGGCGUAAAGAGCUCGUAGGCGGCUCAGCAAGUCGGUCGUGAAAGCCCGAGGCUCAACCUCGGAACUGCGGUCGAUACUGCUGUGGCUAGAGUCCGGUAGAGGAGAGUGGAAUUCCCGGUGUAGCGGUGGAAUGCGCAGAUAUCGGGAGGAACACCAGUGGCGAAGGCGGCUCUCUGGGCCGGUACUGACGCUGAGGAGCGAAAGCGUGGGGUGCAAACAGGAUUAGAUACCCCAGUAGUCC